rnacentral:rRNA from 1 species
GACGAACGCUGGCGGCGUGCCUAAUACAUGCAAGUAGAACGCAGUUGCGAACGGGUGAGUAACGCGUAGGUAACUGCCUCAUAGCGGGGGAUAACUAUUGGAAACGAUAGCUAAUACCGCAUACUGUGAGAUGGACCUGCGUUGUAUUAGCUAGUUGGUGGGGUAAAGCCUCACCAAGGCGACGUUACAUAGCCGACCUGAGAGGGUGGUCGGGCACACUGGGACGGAGACACGGCCCAGACUCCUACGGGAGGGAGCAGUAGUGAAUCUUCGGCAAUGGACGGAAGUCUGACCGAGCAACGACGCGUGAGUGAAGGAGGUUUUCGGGUGGUAAAGCGCUGUUGUGAGGGAAGCGGUAACGAACCAGAAAGGGACGGCUAACUACGUGCCAGCAGCCGCGGUAAUAC